rnacentral:rRNA from 1 species
UACAGAGGGUGCAAGCGUUGUUCGGAAUUAUUGGGCGUAAAGAGCGUGUAGGCGGCCAGGCAGGUCCGCUGUGAAAACUCGAGGCUCAACCUCGAGAGGUCGGUGGAAACCGUCUGGCUAGAGUCCGGAAGAGGAGAGUGGAAUUCCCGGUGUAGCGGUGAAAUGCGCAGAUAUCGGGAAGAACACCCGUGGCGAAGGCGGCUCUCUGGGACGGUACUGACGCUGAGACGCGAAAGCGUGGGGAGCGAACAGG